AUUGAACGCUGGCGGCAGGCCUAACACAUGCAAGUCGAACGAGUGGCGGACGGAUGAGUAAUGUAUGGGCAACUGCCUGAUGGAUGGGGAUCACUACUGGACACGGUAGCUAAUACCGCCUACCAUCAGCUGUGCCCAGAUGGGAAUAGCUAGUGGGUGGGGUAACGGCUUACCAAGGCGACGAUCCCUAGCUGGUCUGAGAGGAUGACCAGCCACACUGGAACUGAGACACGGUCCAGACUCCUACGGGAGGCAGCAGUGGGGAAUAUUGCACAAUGGGCGCAAGCCUGAUGCAGCCAUGCCGCGUGUAUGAAGAAGGCCUUCGGGUUGUAAAGCACUUUAAGCGGGGAGGCGUUACCCGCAGAAGAAGCACCGGCUAACUCCGUGCCAGCCGCCGCGGUAAUUC
rnacentral:rRNA from 1 species